UUUUUUUUCGUCUGCAGUUUAUGAGGAUGAGCACCUCCGCAGGAGGUUCGAGCCUCGCGAAGCGAGACAACGUUGCUUUAGCAAAGGCCCGCAGGGUGAGGCGUUGGCGCCGAAUCAUCCUCCCGGAUACACCA
rnacentral:sRNA from 1 species